rnacentral:lncRNA from 1 species
CCCACAUCACCUCAUCCAUACCCAUCCUUUAAGGGUAUUUUGGUCUUUUUGUUUCUUUCUUUGAAGAUUGUGCUUUGUACUUUUCACCAACCAUCACAUUUCCCCACAUCCCCACUUGAUUAUAGCCAACCCAUCAUCCAUCACCUUUUGUACUUCUUAUCAUCCAUCAUAUUUUUCAAAACUCCAUUGUUCUCUUCUUCAACCAUUGAAAUCUGAAGAUCGAAGAUCGAAGCCAUCCCUUCCAACCUUUGAAAUAUGAAGAUCGAAGCCACCAUCAAUGCUCUGCCACCAUCAAAGCUCUCAAAGAUCGAAGAUCAAAGCCACCAUCCCUUCCAACCUUGAAAUCUGAAGAUCGAAGCCACCAUUGAAGAUCGAAGCCACCAUCAAAGCUCUCAAAGAAAAGGAAGCUCGGUGUCAUUUUAAUCACAUCUUUGUUUCUGUUUUUUAGAGAGAGAAAGCUAAUGUUUUGGAAGGAGAGAUAACAAUUUUCAUGUUGUGGAAAGAUGUUUUGUGUUCAAGAUGAAGAUGGUUAUCAAGAAGCGAAACCCGCGGAAGGAUUACAACGCAUCAUCAGGUUUUCGUGGUGACGAUGGUGUUGUUGUGAAGGCAAUUUUUAGAAGACCAUUUUUAGAAGCAUUACAACUAUUGAUAUAAAAUUUAUUUUUAUUUUCAUUGUUAGUAUGCCAAUAUUUGGAUGAAUACGGAUGUUGUUGUGAAGGCAAUUUUUUUUUUGGAUGCAACAACUAUAUGUAACAUGUGUAACCUUGACGUUGUAACACAUGUAACACCUAUAUGUAAUAUGUGUAAGAUUGCUAUACAUGUGUUACAUAUAUACCCAUAUUGUAACAUAUGUUAUAAACAUGUGUUACAUAUGUCAGCCCCUUUGGUGUCAAUUUAAACUUAGCAAAAUUACAUAUGUAACAACAUUACAUCAUCCAAAAUGUCAUAUCAAUGAACAAACAAGUAAUAUAUGUAACUAUAAGUAUAUGAGACUAGUGUAACAAAUUAAAGGGACAAACGAUACACUUCAUGUUACAUAAGUA